GUUUCCAUAGUGUAGUGGUUAUCACAUUCGCCUAACACGCGAAACGUCCCCGGCUCGAAACCGGGUGGAAACA